CACGCACUAGAUGCUGUCACAGCGCUUCUACCUGACUUGGCAACGCCGCCGGAGCUGACGGCGCAGAAGGUAUCUUCGCCUGCCGUGAAGGAGAGAACGGAAGCUGGGGUCGAGCACGCAACAGGAAAAAAUCACCUCUCAUGACUUGCGAGUCCUUGUCCAAAUUAUCGAAGAGCCUCAACAGAGCCUCUGCAAUGAGUGCUGCACCCAUGGCACAGAGAGUGACCGCAUCCCCUCCAACUGCACAAGCUGCCGCGCCCGCAACCUCAAUCACAAUCCCAUCGAAGCCUCCUGCGCUGGUCACGAUGACGUAUAACGGGUACGCUGUUGUUCGUCGAGGCGAUGGACGCGAAAGAAUGACAACAGGAACACGGUCUGGCGCAUGGAUGUGACUGGGCACAUCACGUAUCCACCGGUGGACGGAGUCCUCACUCCCACUUGCGACCGCGAGGUGGAGUUUUUCCUUUUGUGCGUGUUUGUUUUUCGCCCUCCACCUCUGACAGGGGAGCCUCUGGCGGCGGCGAUGGCGCCGGCAACACUACCACCGCAACGCAGCGACAGCACGGCUACGACAAAGUCAAUGCACGCGACAGCACCGACGACUGUGAGUAGGGUACCGGAGACCCUCGACCAGGCAGCCACCCGAAUGCUGUGUUCACACACACCACGGCGAUGAUACAAUCGAAACAGAGGCAGCAAGGAUCUCCCAGCGGCGGCUGUUAGCCCAUCGUUCUCGGACCGCCUGUAUAUCCCCGUUACUCCGCAAAGCAGCCAGGUGACUCCUGUUUCCUUUUUGUUUUCGUCUUUGCUUGUUUUUUUUUUCAUCAACCCCCCAUUUUGUUGUCCUGACGUCUUAUGUUCUCCACCCCGUGUGUGUGUGUGGGGGGGGGGGGUUCUCAUGGUCAAUCCGGUGUGCGUGUGUGAUGUUACUGUCCUUUGACUCGCUCGCGCGGCUGCUUGUAAGGGGCGUAUUGCGGCGGCUGCUGUGUGCAUUCGCGGGUGGCGGUGGUGGUGUUCGCCCUUCUCUCUUACUUACUCCCUCUCACCGUGUGUAUUAAUGCGCUGUCUUCCCUCCUCCUGCGCCUACGAUAUUCUAAGGCGGUACGAAUGCGCGUGUGAGUGUGCGAUGUACAUGCUGAGGGCAAGGCGCUGUGCGGGAGGGAGGAGUGUGUAAGGGCCAGAAAAGCAGGUUGAUCGUGUGUGAGCAGCAACGGCACGCGUAGCACAAAAAGUUGCAUGAGUACAGGGCAACCCUCAUCUUCACUUGGGUGCUUCACUUCUUGGAGGUGCGUGUGCGAACCGCGCCCCGCAGCGCCGACUCGUUUCUCCUUUCCCUCAACUUUAUUUUUCCCUCCACCUUCCGACCAUGUCGUCUGGUGGCACGCAUCACCAUCGCUCCGACUGCUGCCGCUGUGCCUUCUCCAUGUCUGCCCCACCUUGUCUGUCUCCGCGACUUUGUGCAUCGUCUCCCUUCGACCCUACAUCGCACCCGCCACCACUGUCUCUGCCAUCUGCCGCUUCUUC
rnacentral:misc_RNA from 1 species